rnacentral:sRNA from 5 species
UGUAUCUGAAGUCUGACGAGGAUGAGAACCUCCGGGGGCAAGAGGUUCGACUCGAGCGCAGCGAGAGAACGUUGCGUCAGCAACGGCCCGCAGGGCGAGCCACGCAGUGGCGAGUCAUCCUCUAUCACCGACCA